rnacentral:rRNA from 1 species
CCUACGGGUGGCAGCAAUUAGGAAUCUUGCGCAAUGGGCGAAAGCCUGACGCAGCGACGCCGCGUGACUGAUGAAGUCUUUCGGGUUGUAAAGGUCUUUUGUGGGGGACGAAGGAAGUUACGGUACCCCACGAAUAAGCUCCGGCUACCUACGUGCCAGCAGCCGCGGUAAUACGUAGGGAGCGAGCGUUGUCCGAAUUCACUGGGCGUAAAGCGCGCGUAGGCGGGCUAUUAAGUUGGGGGUGAAAUGCCGAGGCUUAACCGCGGAAGUGCCUUCGAAACUGGUAGGCUUGAGGGAUGGAGAGGGAAGUGGAAUUCCAGGUGUAGCGGUGAAAUGCGUAGAGAUCUGGAGGAACACCAGUGGCGAAGGCGGCUUCCUGGUCAGAUCCUGACGCUGAGGUGCGAAAGCUAGGGGAGCGAACG